rnacentral:rRNA from 1 species
UACGGGGGGGGCAAGCGUUGUUCGGAAUUACUGGGCGUAAAGGGCUCGUAGGCGGCCAACUAAGUCGGAUGUGAAAUCCCCAAGCUUAACUUGGGAACUGCAUCCGAUACUGGAUGGCUUGAAUCCGGGAGAGGGAUGCAGAAUUCCAGGUGUAGCGGUGAAAUGCGUAGAUAUCUGGAGGAAUACCGGUGGCGAAGGCGGCAUCCUGGACCGGCAUUGACGCUGAGACGCGAAAGCGUGGGGAGCAAACAGG